rfam:Oikopleura dioica, whole genome shotgun assembly, reference scaffold set, scaffold scaffold_199
CCGUCGAUAGCUCAGUUGGCAGAGCGGGAGACUGUAGAGGGUGGAGCAGUUAUCUCUAGGUCACUGGUUCGAAUCCGGUUCGACGGA